CGCGGCCUAUCAGCUUGUUGGAGAGGUAACGGCUCACCAAGGCAUCGACGGGUAGCUGGUCUGAGAGGAUGAUCAGCCACACUGGGACUGAGACACGGCCCAGACUCCUACGGGAGGCAGCAGUGGGGAAUCUUGCACAAUGGGCGAAAGCCUGAUGCAGCAACGCCGCGUGCGGGAAGAAGGCCCUAGGGUUGUAAACCGCUUUCAGUAGGGAAGAAAAUGACGGUACCUACAGAAGAAGGUGCGGCCAACUACGUGCCAGCAGCCGCGGUGACACGUAGGCACCAAGCGUUAUCCGGAUUUAUUGGGCGUAAAGAGCUCGUAGGCGGUUCGGUAAGUCGGGUGUGAAAACUCUGGGCUCAACCCAGAGAGGCCACCCGAUACUGCUGUGACUAGAGUGCGGUAGGGGAGCGGGGAAUUCCUGGUGUAGCGGUGAAAUGCGCAGAUAUCAGGAGGAACACCAGCGGCGAAGGCGCCGCUCUGGGCCGUAACUGACGCUGAGGAGCGAAAGCAUGGGUAGCAAACAGGAUUAGAUACCCUGGUAGUCCAUGCCGUAAACGUUGGGCACUAGGUGUGGGUCUCAACCAACGAGAUCCGCGCCGUCGCUAACGCAUUAAGUGCCCCGCCUGGGGAGUACGG
rnacentral:rRNA from 1 species